rnacentral:rRNA from 1 species
UAGCCUUUCGAAAGGAAGAUUAAUACCCCAUAAUAUAUUAUUCGGCAUCGGGUGAUAUUGAAAACUACGGUGGAUAGAGAUGGGCACGCGCAAGAUUAGCUAGUUGGUGAGGUAACGGCUCACCAAGGCGACGAUCUUUAGGGGGCCUGAGAGGGUGAUCCCCCACACUGGUACUGAGACACGGACCAGACUCCUACGGGAGGCAGCAGUGAGGAAUAUUGGACAAUGGGUGAAAGCCUGAUCCAGCCAUCCCGCGUGCAGGAAGACGGCCCUAUGGGUUGUAAACUGCUUUUAUCUGGGGAUAAACCUACUUACGUGUAAGUAGCUGAAGGUACCAGAAGAAUAAGCACCGGCUAACUCCGUGCCAGCAGCCGCGGUAAUACGGAGGGUGCAAGCGUUAUCCGGAUUUAUUGGGUUUAAAGGGUCCGUAGGCGGACUGAUAAGUCAGUGGUGAAAUCCGACAGCUUAACUGUCGAACUGCCAUUGAUACUGUUAGUCUUGAGUAAGGUUGAAGUGGCUGGAAUAAGUAGUGUAGCGGUGAAAUGCAUAGAUAUUACUUAGAACACCAAUUGCGAAGGCAGGUCACUAAGUCUUAACUGACGCUGAUGGACGAAAGCGUGGGGCAG